UACGUAGGCAGCGAGCGUUGCUCGGAAUUACUGGGCGUAAAGAGUGUGUAGGCGGUGUUCCCAGUCUGUUGUGAAAUCUCCCGGCUUAACUGGGAGGGUGCAGCGGAAACUAGAAUGCUAGAGGGUGGGAGAGGUAAGCGGAAUUCCUGGUGUAGCGGUGAAAUGCGUAGAUAUCAGGAGGAACACCUGUGGUGUAGACAGCUUACUGGACCACUUCUGACGCUGAGACACGAAAGCGUGGGUAGCAAACAGG
rnacentral:rRNA from 1 species